AUACGGAGGGUGCGAGCGUUAAUCGGAAUUACUGGGCGUAAAGAGUACGUAGGCGGUUGCUUAAGUCAGAUGUGAAAGCCCCGGGCUCAACCUGGGAACUGCAUUUGAAACUGAGUGACUAGAGUUUAAGAGAGGGGAGUAGAAUUCCGGGUGUAGCGGUGAAAUGCGUAGAGAUCCGGAGGAAUACCAGUGGCGAAGGCGGCUCCCUGGCUUAAAACUGACGCUGAGGUACGAAAGCGUGGGUAGCAAACAGGAUUAGAAACCCCAGUAGUCC
rnacentral:rRNA from 1 species